rnacentral:rRNA from 2 species
CUUGCUACUUUGCCGGCGAGCGGCGGACGGGUGAGUAAUGUCUGGGAAACUGCCUGAUGGAGGGGGAUAACUACUGGAAACGGUAGCUAAUACCGCAUGACCUCGAAAGAGCAAAGUGGGGGAUCUUCGGACCUCACGCCAUCGGAUGUGCCCAGAUGGGAUUAGCUAGUAGGUGAGGUAAUGGCUCACCUAGGCGACGAUCCCUAGCUGGUCUGAGAGGAUGACCAGCCACACUGGAACUGAGACACGGUCCAGACUCCUACGGGAGGCAGCAGUGGGGAAUAUUGCACAAUGGGCGCAAGCCUGAUGCAGCCAUGCCGCGUGUGUGAAGAAGGCCUUAGGGUUGUAAAGCACUUUCAGCGAGGAGGAAGGCAUCAUACUUAAUACGUGUGGUGAUUGACGUUACUCGCAGAAGAAGCACCGGCUAACUCCGUGCCAGCAGCCGCGGUAAUACGGAGGGUGCAAGCGUUAAUCGGAAUUACUGGGCGUAAAGCGCACGCAGGCGGUUUGUUAAGUCAGAUGUGAAAUCCCCGCGCUUAACGUGGGAACUGCAUUUGAAACUGGC